UCCUUCCUCCUGUCUCCACCUUUUAAACUUAAAUCUUCAUUCUUAUAACAUACUAGCUGUGCCCGGCCAUGUGUUGCUGUGGCGUAGUCUGCUGGUAUGGAAAAUAAAGUCAUGAGAAUCAGCCAGGCUUUGAAGCUGCAAGGCGAUUCAUUCCUGUUUAAUUUUUUAAGGUUAUUUUGAGUGGAGGUCAUACCUUGGAUGUGUUGGUGUAUUGUGGCCAAAUUUGGUGCCAUUUGGUCCGGUGGUUUUGUUGUUAACUCGGUCCUACAAACGUACAUUGCAUUUUUAUAUUUAUUUAUUUAUGUAUUUAUUUACAGUAUUUAUAUUCCGCCCUUCUUUCUCACCCCGAAGGGGACUCGGGGCGGAUUACAAUGAACACAUAUAUAUGGCAAACAUUCAAUGCCAACAGACAAACAACAUACAUUAGACAGACUCAGAGGCAUUUUUUUAAACAUUUUUCCAGCUUCACGAUUCCGGCCACAGGGGGAGCUGUUGCUUCACCGUCCACUGGUGGCUGUACUUCCUCAUUCCUUUCCUCGUGUUUUGCUGGCAGUUUUACGGUGUUGUAAAUUAGUUAAAUUAGCCUCCCCGCAUAAAGCGUCCCUAAAUUUCCCUACUUGACAGAUGCAACUGUCUUUUGGGGCUGCAUAGGUCAACAGCAAGCCGGGGCUAUUAAUGGUCGGAGUCUUAACCCAUCCCAGGCUUCGAACUCAUGACCUCUCGGUCAGCAGUGAUUUAUAGCAGCUGGUUACUAGCCAGCUGCGCCACAGAUUCACACUUGUAUAGAUUCACACUUGUGGAAUUUCAUCCUCUUCAAGCACUUCACACACAGGUCCAGUGCAUCCCUUGACCCCCUCAAAGUGCUGUUUGCCUUUGCAGGAGGAGGCCACCUACAUCCAGGAGAUCAUGACAACGGCAGACGGGCAGAUGGUGCAGCACCUGGUGACAGCAGAAAAUCAGGUAUGCAUGGAAGGUGGGGGCAAAGGGGGUCAUGAAAAGCCAUCUGGACCAGAACUCAUGUGUCCCCUUCUCUCCUUUCUUCCUGCUUCCCUCCCAAGGUCCAGUACAUCAUCACUCAGGACGGCGUCCAGCCACUCCUCCCCCACGAAUAUGUUGUCCUUCCGGAGGGGCACCACCUCCAGGUGCAGGAGGGGCAGAUCACCCACAUCCAGUACGACCAAAGCGGGACCUUUGUGCAGGAGCCCCAGAUCCAGUAUGUGCCGGUCUCGCCAGGGCAGCAGCAGGUGGUCAGCCAGGCCCAGCUGGAGGUGGCCGCUCACUCGGCGGUCACAGGUAGGUGUGCAGACAGGGGCAAGGGAGCACCUGGCCAAGGACAGCCACUGGCUUGGGUCUGCCGUGCAAAAGGGAGAAAACAGGGGGGGGAAACCCACCGUUUAUAUCAUGAAAGAACACCUUUCUUCUGUUCUCCCUGAAAGUUCGGGGGGGGGGGGGGUCUCCUUCCUUCUCUGGAGUUUUUAAAGCAGAGACUAGAUGUCCAUCUGUUGGGAGAGAUUGGAUAGUGCAUUUCUGCCUGGCAGAAAGAAGGGAGUUGGACUGGGUGGCCCUUGGGGUCUCCUCCAGUAAUCAUAAUAACAACACUAUGUAACAAAAUUUGAAAUUUUUUCCUAUUUAUUUAUUUAUUUAUUUAUUUGCAGUAUUUAUGUUCCUGUUUUGAAAGUAUUAUUUCCUGUUUAAUUAUACAGUCCUUACUUUGAAAGUAGUUCCUCUGCUCCAGAUACAGUUUGUUAACCUAAGCAUGGUUUUACCUGUCUCAAGCAUGACAGGUGUGUAAUAGUAGGUAUGUGAAUACCUUAAAACACUCGCUAGUUCAAAUGCUACGUUGUGUCCUUAUUUCGAAGCAAUCGGUGAAGGUCCCUCACAAACGGACUUUACAUUUUUAUUUAUAUAGGAUAUUAGACACUUGGGAACUGUCCGGCAUGUGCUGCAAUACAACAGCCAGCAUAGUGAUCUUGUCUGCUGUACACUCAUCUUGUUGUGUAUCAAGUAAUAAUAAUAAUAGAUAAUAAUAAUAAUAAUAAUAAUAAUAAUAAUAAUAAUAAUAAUAAUUGGGUGCUGUGCCAAAAGAUCUCAGCCGGCAUUUGGAAACAAUAGACAUUGACAAAAUCACAAUCUGCCAACUGCAAAAGGCCACCCUACUGGGAUAUGCACGUAUCAUCCGAAAAUACAUCACACAGGCCUAGACACUUGGGAAGUGUUCGACUUGUGGUUUUGUGAUAUGAAAUCCAACAUAUCUAUCUUGUUUGCUGUGUCAUAAUAAAAUAAUAAUAAAAAAUAAAAAUAGAUAAUUACAAUGGCAUCCCCCU
rnacentral:lncRNA from 11 species